rnacentral:lncRNA from 1 species
GGGCUGGGGAAGCUGCAGGCCUACAGUGUGGGGGCACAGAGAAUUGGUCUAAAAACAGUAGUAAAACCCAAAAUUCAAGGACAAAGAAUAAUGCUCUUCUUAAGCGGGGGCCCUGUUUGAUUUUCUUUUCUUUCCAUACAUCCUAGAGCUGAAUACAGCUCUGUAUGAUGCUGAAUAUAUUCCCCCUCUACUCUGCCCUCAUGAGACCCCACCUAAAGUACUACAACCACGUUUGGGGCCCCCAGCACAAGAAAGAUGAAGACCUGUGAGGACAAGCCCAGAGGAGGGCCACGAAGGUGACCAGAGAGCUGGAGCACCUCUCCUACAAAGAAAGGCUGAGAGAACUGGGGCUGUUCAACCCAGGGAGAGAAGGCCCUGUGAAGGCCCCAUUGUGGCCUUUGAAUACUUAAAGCUGGCUUAUCAAGAAGGAUUCUUUGCUCAGACAGCAAGGCUGGGAUCUGGGAGGAUUCUGCUGAAGGAAACUGUCAUUCCACAACAUGCCCCUACAUGAAGAAUAAUGUCACAGGCAGGGCUGAUGCUGGAAUUGAGUAAUUUCUACACAGCAAGAAGAAUGCUUGCAAAAGAGGUAAUACAUUUAAAGAAGUAAUGUUCUCAUUUCUGUUGAAUUCUCAGUCUAUAACAUAAAAUUAUUUGAGUCUCUUACCUCACAACUGCCAUGACGUAUUUAUAUUGCAUCUUAUAGAUCAGAAAUCUGAAGUAUCUGGAAAGAUAAGCAACUUUUCCAAGAUCACAGAUUUCUUAUUUUCUUAUGACAGCAAGUGAGUAUCAGAGCCAAGGUUAUUCCCAAACCUCUUAACUUCCCUUCUCUAAUAGCAUAUUACCAGAUACAUGGUUUGCAGUGUAAAGAAGGAGGAAAGACAGAAAAAGGAAAUAUAUGCAGGACUCUUCAAUAAAUUAAAUUAAUAUAUCGGGCCCAUCUUUAUAGAAUUCUCUCCAUUUGUUAAUGUUGGACUACUUUACAAGGGGAAGUUUUUAUGCAUAUGCCUAUUUUACAGAUGGGAAAAUUGAAAUAAAAAGUAAUUUGAUGAAACUUGUACAACAGAUUAGUUUGCAGGGCUAGCAA